rnacentral:rRNA from 1 species
AUUAUGGCUCAGGAUGAACGCUAGCUACAGGCUUAACACAUGCAAGUCGAGGGGCAGCGGGAAGUUAGCUUGCUAACUUGCCGGCGACCGGCGCACGGGUGAGUAACGCGUAUCCAACCUUCCCCUUAGUAGGGCAUAGCCCGGCGAAAGUCGGAUUAAUACCCUAUGUUUUCCAAUGAGGACAUCUGAGCUGGAAUAAAGAUUCAUCGCUAAGGGAUGGGGAUGCGUCCGAUUAGCUUGCCGGCGGGGUAACGGCCCACCGGGGCGACGAUCGGUAGGGGUUCUGAGAGGAAGGUCCCCCACACUGGUACUGAGACACGGACCAGACUCCUACGGGAGGCAGCAGUGAGGAAUAUUGGUCAAUGGGCGCGAGCCUGAACCAGCCAAGUAGCGUGCAGGAUGACGGCCCUAUGGGUUGUAAACUGCUUUUAUAGGGGAAUAAAGUUUCCUACGUGUAGGAUUUUGUAUGUACCCUGUGAAUAAGGACCGGCUAAUUCCGUGCCAGCCGCUGC